CAGCCGCCGCGGGAAUACGGAGGGUGCAAGCGUUAAUCGGAAUUACUGGGCGUAAAGCGCACGCAGGCGGUCUGUCAAGUCAGAUGUGAAAUCCCCGGGCUUAACCUGGGAACUGCAUUUGAAACUGGCAGGCUAGAGUCUUGUAGAGGGGGGUAGAAUUCCAGGUGUAGCGGUGAAAUGCGUAGAGAUCUGGAGGAAUACCGGUGGCGAAGGCGGCCCCCUGGACAAAGACUGACGCUCAGGUGCGGAAGCGUGGGGAGCAAACAGGAUUAGAUACCCCAGUAGUCCCUGUCUCUUAUAC
rnacentral:rRNA from 1 species